rnacentral:rRNA from 1 species
UGGGGAAUUUUGGACAAUGGGCGAAAGCCUGAUCCAGCAAUGCCGCGUGUGUGAAGAAGGCCUUCGGGUUGUAAAGCACUUUUGUCCGGAAAGAAAUCCUUGGCUCUAAUACAGUCGGGGGAUGACGGUACCGGAGGAAUAAGCACCGGCUAACUACGUGCCAGCAGCCGCGGUAAUACGUAGGGUGCAAGCGUUAAUCGGAAUUACUGGGCGUAAAGCGUGCGCAGGCGGUUUGCUAAGACCGGUGUGAAAUCCCCGGGCUCAACCUGGGAACUGCAUUGGUGACUGGCAGGCUAGAGUAUGGCAGAGGGGGGUAGAAUUCCACGUGUAGCAGUGAAAUGCGUAGAGAUGUGGAGGAAUACCGAUGGCGAAGGCAGCCCCCUGGGCCAAUACUGACGCUCAUGCACGAAAGCGUGGGGAGCAAACAGGAUUAGAUACCCUGGUAGUCCACGCCCUAAACGAUGUCAACUAGUUGUUGGGGAUUCAUUUCCUUAGUAACGUAGCUAACGCGUGAAGUUGACCGCCUGGGGAGUACGGUCGCAAGAUUAAAACUCAAAUGAAUUGACGGGGUCAUAGCUGUUUCCU